rnacentral:rRNA from 1 species
GGCUCAGGAUGAACGCUAGCUACAGGCUUAACACAUGCAAGUCGCGGGGUAACAUCUGGGAGAGCUUGCUCUUCCAGGAUGACGACCGGCGCACGGGUGAGUAACGCGUAUCCAACCUGGCCCAUACCACGGGAUAGCCCGUCGAAAGGCGGAUUAAUACCGUAUGCUGUCAUUAAGAGGCAUUUUUGAUGACGAAAGGACUGGCGGUAUGGGAUGGGGAUGCGUCUGAUUAGCUUGUUGGCGGGGUAACGGCCACCAAGGCAAUGAUCAGUAGGGGUUCUGAGAGGAAGGUCCCCCACAUUGGAACUGAGACACGGUCCAAACUCCUACGGGAGGCAGCAGUGAGGAAUAUUGGUCAAUGGGCGAGAGCCUGAACCAGCCAAGUAGCGUGCAGGAUGACGGCCCUAUGGGUUGUAAACUGCUUUUAUAUGGGAAUAAAGUGAGCGACGUGUCGUUUUUGUAGGUACCAUAUGAAUAAGGACCGGCUAAUUCCGUG